CUUGCUAUGAACUCCUGAUAUGUUAUGAUUCAUACUUUCACUUCUGUUUCUUAAUACUAUCAUUUUGAAAAAGUGAAAAUGAAACUGUUUCAUUGGUGAACAGUUCACAAGGGAGAAGAAAAGUCCUUCUGCCUCACCAUCCUAGAGCACUGGGAUUACAAGAAUGCACCGUCAUGGCUGGAUACACACAGUGCCUUGCAGGAGUCACAAUUAAUCAUGCCUCACCUGGAAACCAGUGCCAAAAUGACUCUGCUAAUAGAAUCCAUCAACUGCUGAAAUAAGUGAUUGCACUGAAAGUUACUUUAUUGGAUUGAACUUGGGACCUUGUGCCUAUGAGGCAGGUGGUGGAAACACUGAGCUAAAUCCUUGGCCCUGGUUGAUUUCUUGAUAGCAGCCAUUCUUUCUGGGGUACAGCUGCAUAAAAGUGUGCCCCAGCCUAGGGAGAAGAACCAACCACACUCCCCUUGGAGGCUGAGAGGUCCCUAUCUGGAGAAGCAAAGUCUGAAAAUUCGGCAUACUCCGUCCUGUGAAAGUAAAGACAAGACUGUUGGACCAGUAAAAAAAAAAAAAAAAGAGAGAGAAACUUCAGACCAGUGGUGGUGAAACUAUGGCACACUGCCAAAGUGGACACGCAGAACCCUCUCUGUCAGCAUGAGAGCCAAAUCUCCCCAGCCAAGCUUUGACAAAUUACCAGUAUGCAGACAACAGCAAAGAUCACAUUAAAGGCCUUCAAAAUAAUAAGUCAGAAGUUACUUGUGUUUUGAUAGUAACCAUGAAGAAGAGUAUAAACAAAGAUAUUCAUUAUGAAGUAGAUUACUGUUGAAGAGAUUUUGCUGCCAGGAGUGGAGCACCUUUCCUGUGCCAUGCCCUUCUGCCGUGAUGCCUCUGCUUUGCAGUCAGCUGACCAUGGACUAAAAUCCCUGAAACUCUGAGCUAAAAUAAAUCUUUCCUCCCUUAAGUUGUGGGUGUCAGAUAUUUUGUCAGGACAGCGAAAAGGUGGCCAAUAUGCAAGAUGUUUAAAUUCUGGAGAUCUCACGUAAAGUAAAGUGACAGUACUGCAUUGUACACUUGAAAUUUGCUGAGAGUGGAUCUUAAGUGUUCUCACCAAACACAAUAAAGUAGCUACAUGAUGGUGUGCACCUGUUAUUUAGCUCAGUUGUAGUGGUCAUUUCAUAAUGUACACAUAUAUCAAAG
rnacentral:lncRNA from 1 species